UGGGGAAUAUUGCACAAUGGGCGCAAGCCUGAUGCAGCCAUGCCGCGUGUAUGAAGAAGGCCUUCGGGUUGUAAAGUACUUUCAGCGGGGAGGAAGGUGUUGAGGUUAAUAACCUCAGCAAUUGACGUUACCCGCAGAAGAAGCACCGGCUAACUCCGUGCCAGCAGCCGCGGUAAUACGGAGGGGGCAAGCGUUAAUGGGAAUUACUGGGCGUAAAGCGCACGCAGGCGGUCUGUCAAGUCGGAUGUGAAAUCCCCGGGCUCAACCUGGGAACUGCAUUCGAAACUGGCAGGCUAGAGUCUUGUAGAGGGGGGUAGAAUUCCAGGUGUAGCGGUGAAAUGCGUAGAGAUCUGGAGGAAUACCGGUGGCGAAGGCGGCCCCCUGGACAAAGACUGACGCUCAGGUGCGAAAGCGUGGGGAGCAAACA
rnacentral:rRNA from 1 species